AGUCCAAGACACUUCUGAAUGCUAGUGGCACCUCCACUCCCCACAGCGUGGCCAGUCCCCUGGACACCCUCACCUUGUGUCCUUUACUCACUCAGGCCUUUGGGAGAAGAGCACACAGGGCCAGGAGGCGGAAAGGCUGACGUGGACCCCGGCCAUGGGAUGCCCUGUUAUGGUCAGUGCUGUCCCCAGAGCAGAGGCCGGCACUGGGCAGAGCCAGCCUCCCAGGACAAUCUGCUUCCCAUCCUAAGAAUUCGUCCCUGCUUCUUUUCUCGUUUUUUAGACAUUUGAAGGUCAAGCCUGGGCCACAGCUUCUGAAAGAACCCAGUUUCAUUCUCACUGUAGUCACCUGAUGGACCCAUUUCCAGAAAGGCUGGCCUCAAGCCCUGCCCAGAAUUCCCCUGCACCCACACCAGCCCCGUGGGGCUCCCCCGCUCCCCUCCUGGAAGUGCACAGCCAGCGCCGUCCCUCCCUCAGGGCAAUCCCCAAGAAAAGGAGAAAGACACGGGUGGAGGCAGCAGCCAGCACUCCGGGACCAGGGCCCCUGCCCCCCAGCAAUGUGAGCCCACCCUUGCCCAGGCCCUCACACAGACCGUAGACUGCACUGGGGAAGAGAGUCUGGUGGCGGCCAACAUGUGCACACCGCGGCAUUCUCUGCAAGCAAAGGUGGAAAAGGAUGGUCUUCCCGUUCACUUGUGUUCUUGCAGACUUGGGAAGCACGCAGAAGAAAGUAAUAAAAAAGUGUAGGGGGCAGGGAGUGGGGUGUGGUCCCUGUACCUCAUCCCACAGGUUUUAAAACCACUGAUUCAAAAACAUUUGGUUUUCAGCUACAGAAGGACAUUUCAGAAGCUCUGGAAAACACAGAAAAGUACCAAGAAGAGGGUAAAGGUCAUCUCACAUCUUGGUGAAAGGACAAGCUCUGCCAAGAUUCCCCACUCAACACCCACCUCCCUUCCGCCAAUCUCAGAAAACUGAUGCCACCCCACACGCGGAGCCCAAGGCCUGAAGGACAGCAUCGCAGGCAGCACUGCAGGUGCCUAAGCUGCCCUGGCCAUCCCGGGCCUCUGAUCGCGGGGCUGACCUGGCCCCAGGGUCUUUGCCCCAGUUUCUCACCCGGACCAGCUCCCUCCCUCCCCAGGCGCUGGGCACAGCCUGGAUCCUCGGCAGAUCUUAGGGCCUCGGGAUAGAGACGGUCUCUCUCCUGUUAGCCCUGAGUUAAGUGGGCCCCUCCCCCACGCCCCGUGGUGGCCUGUGCACUUGUGUCCUCCUCCCGAUGUGGGUCCCUGGAGGGCAGCAGCGGCGGGUCCGCGCGCGCCCUCUGCCGGCCGCACCCGGAACUGCAGCCCUGGCCCCCUGACUCCCUGCCGGACCGCCCGCCCAGACACCGCGCACCGGCUCCCCGUGGGCACCUCGCUCCACCGCCUCACUUCGAACCCGCAGACCAUAAGAUGGCCCUCCUCACACUCGGACCCAGCAAGUGAAUCACUCGGCCGAAAUCCAGGGCCCGUGUCCGGGAGGCCCGGGGUAGUCCUCCGAGGAUCUCCCUGCACUCACCUCGCAGCAGGUGCACAAAGUUAGGAAGAACCUCCACUUCCCAGUACAUCCAAGAGACUGUGAUUCUGUCGGUGUCUUUGGUUGAAGCCGAUCCUAGUGCCUCUGAGACAUCUUGCCUGUGGAAAAUUGUAAAUUCAAGUGAAAAACUACAAGUAGCUGUAAAGAAUAAUGGAAUUGAAGUAACUCGAGUGUAGUGGCCAUGCUGACGUCUGCUUUGCUUUAAGUGCAGGAGCACAGAGUUCCACCAGGGUCUGAAGUACACGCUGCACUCAAAUGUUAGGAACGUCCCCCUGAAACGUAGGGUGUAGCUGAUUUCCACAUGGGAUACAAGUCUUGCUGGCCUGUCCUGGGGCAGAUAUGUCUUCUAUGGCUACCAACUACCCACCUCACAACACCCGGAACUGGAAGUAUGCAGGAGAGAAGGAGAAACAAGGUUUGUCCUAUGAACCAGAAGGGAGACUGCAGAACUGUCAGCAGAGGACACCGGGAUAGAAUGUGUUAUUAACUACGGAAACCUCAGCCAAAGUUGGAGUCUGAACAGGCCCGCAGGGGGCGUGCAUGUCAAUAAAGCCAUCUCUGCCUACAUUCCCCACAGGAAGGUGCCUCUAAUUACUGUCCAGGAGGAGGAAGGAAACGUCCCUCUGCCCCAGGAUGGCCCAGCUAAUCACAGACCUCAGCGGCCCAACCAAUGGGAAGCCUCCAUACUCUGGGACCCCAAACUCUCCAGUGGGCUCUUUGGUUGUCACAGCCCUUCCCAACUCCCCCUUUUCCCUAUAAUAAAGCAAGUUCU